rnacentral:rRNA from 1 species
UACGAAGGGGGCUAGCGUUGCUCGGAAUCACUGGGCGUAAAGCGCACGUAGGCGGCUUUUUAAGUCAGGGGUGAAAUCCUGGAGCUCAACUCCAGAACUGCCUUUGAUACUGGGAAGCUCGAGUCCGGGAGAGGUGAGUGGAACUCCGAGUGUAGAGGUGAAAUUCGUAGAUAUUCGCAAGAACACCAGUGGCGAAGGCGGCUGACUGGUCCGGUUCUGACGCUGAGGCGCGAAAGCGUGGGGAGCAAACAGG